CAUGCUUCUUCUCCCCAGGAGGAAGAACAAAACAGGCAGGAUAAAAAUGCAUUUGGUAUUGCAGAAUGAGCAUUAGGAUUUGGGGUCCUCUGGUGCUCAGACCUGUGAUAUGAAAAAUACGAGAAAGAAAGAAAGAAAAUUGAAGUAAGAAGGAGAAAUAAGAAGGAUUAAAUCUGUUGCUUACACAGGAGCUGUGCAAGUCCUGUAGCAUUUUAGAGGAGCAAUUGGAGCCCAGGUGGGACACUCUGUUUCCUACAGAAUCAUGUGAAGAAGGGGAAAUUUGGACUCAGUCAAAGAAAUUGAAAGCAGACUAGUUAAACUAAGCAUAUCUCUACUCAAAGAGUAAAACUGCAUUUGUCCUACUCUUCAAAUUGAGGAAUAACAGAAUUUAAUAAUUUGCACUUCCUAAAACAAAAAACAAACAAACAAAAACCCCAACAAUCCCACAACCAAAAAAUAGAGUGUUCUUGCUGCGAGAGCCUUUGGUUUUGUUUCUUUUAUUGUUUAGGAUUAUUUUUCAGUCAUUUAAUUUAAAUAUAUGAUUUUUAAAAAGACUGAACAUCAGAGAUAAUUAAAUAUUACUGAGAUAGACUUAGCUUUGAAAUUAGGUUUGUAAGCUUUCAGUGGUGCAAAAAGAGUAAACAAAAAAAGACUCACCUAGACUGACAGAUCUGCAGCACAUACUGAAUGUUGCACCUAUUGACAGUAGAUGGAGCAAAAGUGGGCUUGUAGGAGAAAGACAGUGGAGGCUGAAUAGAACGAAGCCUAGUUUCUGAAGGCUGCAACUGCUUUUGCUUUAGUAGUUCAUGCCACAAACUCUGCAUGCCCUUCUUGUCUUGCCCUAUUCUCCUUUUUUUCCAUCAAUAAUAACUGAAUGCAGAUAGUGCCGAUACACAUAAAUAAUGUAUUUUAACUUGUUUCAUCUCCCUGCUGAGGUUCACAUUCCAUCCCAGAGCUGCACUUAGUUUUUAGCCAAUGAUUCUUUAGUAAAGUUGUACAAAUUUUACCUAAAUCUCCCCAGCUCUCACAUGAAAGAUCCUCCUAUACAAGCCAGCUACUCAGCUGGUGUAAAAUAUCACAGUUCUUUUGUCUUCAGCUGAGCCCUAAAGAUUUGUACCCAUUGAGAAUGCGAUCUUGGAUAAAUAGCUAAAUGCAGUUGGUUGGUCAUCAGCUAGCAAAAACAAUGACCUCAGUGUGAUGUAGGAAUCGCUUUUCAAAUUCCCUAUUAUGUUUUCAACUUAAUUUAGUAGUAAAUGUACUUCACAAUGCAGAAAUUUUGCCACAGAACAAAGUAGUAGGAAGUGGGAGUUGCAUACCUGAAAUCACACAGAGUUCUCUCCUGUGCUUAUUUUCCUUAAAAUUUCUUUGCAUAACCCAGAAUCUAGGCCUUCAUUUUUCUUUCUUCUAGGUGCUUUAUAUUUAUACUCUUUCCUAAGUUUACAAUUAACUUAAAUGUUUUGAAAUAUUCACAGAUCCUAAAUCUUAACUAAAUGCAAACCAGAAAACAGUUACAAAAGUCAAAGGCAGUUUUGUAAUACGAAGAAGGCAGACAGAAUUUUAUAUUUACUUCUAAAAUAUUGGCCCUUGAGUUUAAGCAAACAUAGGAACACUUCAAAAGAUGACUGACUGAUGGAAAACACUGAAAUGAGAAGGAGAGAAAGGAAAAUAGACAUCUAUCAAUGAGUUGUUUAAAAAUACAGAGGAGCAAACCAGAUAGAGAAGAUAUAGUGAGAUGAAAUUGGAAUAGAGAGGGUAAAAAAAAGCUAACGCUGAGAAAUAGAGUCAGAGGAUUAGAAAACACAUAGCAGUCAAAAAUUAGAAAACAAUUAAUGAAGAGGGAAAAUAUAGAGGCUAAACACUUUGUUCUUAUUAGAAAAGAGCAGCAAUGAUGCAAUCAGGACAAAACAGAAACUAAAUUAAAUCUUCAGCCCAAUUUAUACCUUUGAGAGUAGGUCAUAUGUUUUCUGUUUUCUGGAGAAGGGUACAUUUUUUAUUAGGAUCGGAAUAUGAAGCAGAGUAGUAGCAAUACUCCAAGGAAGCUUUUUUAAUUCUUUUUUUUUUUUUAAUUCCUCUCCUGAAAUUUCUGAUAGAGGUAGGAAGUAGGAGAGCUAUAAAAAGGAAAUUAGCUAUGGGAUUGGAAGUAGAUAAUGGAAGACUAAAUUGUUGCAAAAAAUAUAAUACUUCAUAUGAAAUGCAUGUUUUCUCAGCUGAGUUUCUAGCAGGAAAUUAUCCCUAUUAAAGCCAUGAGUAGCACAUAGAUCAAGAACCAUAUGAAGAGUUUGUCCCCCAUGAGAGUGCAUCCCAGGUUUAUCAGCUACUCCUUGCCAGCCUGGGGGCAGCUGGAAGAAGUUGUUUUGUUGAUGUGUAUGCUGUCCCAGUUCUAAAUUUUUAUUGCAUUUCAGCCUGCAGUCUGUUCAAAAGCAAUCCAAUUUCUAGCAUGGUGGUUCAGUGAAACUUGCUCAUAGAAUAUCUCUCAUUUACUUAUUUCAUUUUGGAAAAACAAACAAACAAACAAACAAAAACCAACCCUUUUAUGCUCUUAACUACCACUGAAUACUUCUCAUCUGUUUAUGGUGGUAAUGUGACAUCUUCAAGUCAAGUUUAGGAUGAUGUAUUGGAAAAGCCCUGUUUUUCACUGGACCAUCCUUUUUGCCAAGGCACAAUGAUUCUGAGGAUGUGGGUUCUUGUGGUCUGUUGACCCUGGCCAUCAGCUAAACACCCACCCAAGCACUUGCUCACUCUCCCCACCCUCUGGAGGGAUGGAGGUGAGAAUCAAAAGAUCAAAAGCUGAAAACUCAUGAGCUAUGAUAAAGACAGCUUAGUAAGUGAAGCAAAGCUGUGUGCACAAGGAAAGCAAAACAAAGAAUUAAUUCCCUAGUUUCCAUCAUCAGGCAGAUGUUUUGACACUUCCUGGAAAGCAGGAUCACAGCAUACAUAACAGCUACUUGGGAAGAGAAAUGUCAUAACCCAAAACAUCUCUCCCUUCCUCCUGUCCUUUGGCUUUUAUUGCUGAGCAUGAUUCCAUGCAGUGUGCUCAAUUUUGGUCAAUUUGGGUCAGUCGUGUUGGCUGUGUCCCCUCUCAACCUGUUGCCCUCUCCCAACCUACUUGCUGAAUGGGCAGAGGAAGCCUUGAGGCUGCACUGUUUAGCAAUAGUGGAAACACAGAUAUGUUGUCACCAUUUCAGUCACAUGUUCAAAAUAUAGCACCCUAUGUGCUACUAUGAAGGAAGUCAACUCCAUCUCAGCUAGAACAGCUCUGUAAAGUACAACUGGAUAAAUUCUACUGCACUUGUGCCAAUGUUUUGCAAGUCAUUCCUAUUUAUAUCUCUAGGCAAUUGGUUUGUAUUUGUUCAGACAUAAAUAGCAAGAGGAAUAACUUUUUUUGAUUCUUUGCUUCUAGUUGAUACAGGUAGAAAUGAGAGUUAUAAUAGGGACAGAUUACUGAAUUCAGUAACUAACACAGAAGCUAAAUUUCACGUCUUUGCUAAGAAUACAAGAAGCUGCAGAUACAUAAAUUUUCCAAAUGAUAUUGCAAUUGUAAUAAUACUUACAGUAUGGCAGUAUUCUUACAUGGGAUGAGUUCUAGCAUUUGAACAGAGUCAACAGCAUUAGUUUGAUAAUGCUUCUGUUUUUACACCAAACAUGCCUACAGAGCAUAGGGAAAAAUGAACCAGUUUUAAGGGGCUGAUUUAAUCCAUUGAAAAUAUCUGUGACAAUAUUCAACAAGUGAAUAAAAUAAGUCUGUAGAAUGUAGUAUUUCACUCUUUGAAAUUCAAACUUAUACCUCGUCUGUAUGAUGAACAUUCUAGGAGAUAUCUGGCUAGCAUACCUUAAUUUUGACAUCAGUACACCUGUAGGCAGUAACUAUACAAGAAGAUUUGUAUACGUGUCUAAGAGAACAAAGGUUCCUUUUAUCUGAAGUAUAUUCCAUAUUUUUGACUCAU